GGGGUGGAAAAUAUCAGACCUACAGAACUACUCAAGACCUGGUCAUCAGUGUGAUUUUUGUCUGUCCUGGUCAUCAGUGUCUCUACACAACAGCCAGCAGGAAAUGGCAAACAACAGAAGUCUGAUAAGUGCUCAGGAAAAAUGCCAUAUGGCAUGUGCACCAUCACAAAAAACACGAUGAGCUCUAAACUCUGCAAAUGUCUUCGUGCCACAGGGAUGCACAACCUACAUUAGCAAAAAAAACUAUACCAGCUCUUGCUCUUCGGUCAAACAGCAAACCGGAACAUAGGGCCGUGGUGUUUGUAAUUGAUUUCGGUCAGGAGAGCUGAAGAUACUUUUGUAGCGGAGGAAGCAUAAGAACGAUUAAAAAUGACAAGACCAUCUGUCAUUAAUGAAGAAAGUAUCUCGGCCUGGUUCUUCCUAGUGGUGGCAAGCAAAAGAAAACCAAACCUGUCGUUGUUCACUGCGUGUAGAAAACUACUGAGAACAGCUCUGGCAGAAUUUUAGUGUUUGAGAACUGCAAAGGACAGGUUAACUAUGAGGUUAUUGCACCACAAAAUCAAAUUGAAAAGCACCCAGUGUAAUUCCAGCAUAGAACACACACUUUCCACUGCCAAGGAGUCUUUUGCUGGAGUCACUGAUUUUUCAGGUGAUUACACACUGAGGAUAACUUAUUUCUCCAGUGAGAUGCUGAUACAACAUAUAAGGAGAAAAAAUGGGCUAUAAAUGCUCCUCUGCUUGACAGAUGCCUGCAAAAUUUCAUCACACCUUGGACCUCUUUGGGUCUUUAAGAGAGAAGGUUUCAGCCUCUCAGGAGCAAAGAUUUAUAUCCAAGGAGUUCUAUUGGCCCUGCACCAACGAUUAAAGUCUGCAAACUGUUGCAAGCAGCAAGAAUGAUACUGCUUCUGGUUUUCCUUCUACUUUGCAGUCAAAACAGGAAUCCUACCUUCUUGGACUUUUGAAGAGUUCUCCCAGUUUGGACAACAGGCAGACAACUGUGUGAUACAAAAUGUGUUGCAGCCUGUGCCAUGAGCUGAAGUGACUUGUUCACUGUUCUUGGGAAUCUUUUUCUACCAUUGCAGCAAAGAAACCGGUUGCCAGCAUUCCUCACUGUGAUUUUUUUUUCCCUGAGCCAUCUCAGCUGCUUCAUCCAGCUGAGUUAUCUGGGUUCCAUGCUCUCUGUCAAGUUGUCAUGCUCUAGUGCCUUCUAUACAAAAAACUAUUUCACAUAAUUUAUAGGUAAAUGGGAUGCUUUCUGAAUUUAUAUCCUCGAAUCUUAAAGGCAGCAGUUAUUCGAAGUAAAGGUACCAUUCCUUUGAGCAAACUAGCAAAUGUGUGGGCAUUAUAAAUCUGUAAUUCUGUAAAUUAACUGCAGUCCUGAGUUGGCCUCUCAGUCAAAGCUGCAAACUGUUCACUGGUUCAGAGACAAAUUUACUUCUUAGCACAAAUGUGAUCUUCAAAGCACUUCAGGAGAAUGAUUGAACUUCAGCUUGCUUUGCCCAUUUGGAGAGAUCCAAAUGUUUACCUCUUGCUAGAGCAGGAUGGUUGACUGUGUACCAUUUCUCUCUCAUGACAAGGGGACAUCUCUCCACAAUCAUUUUUGGCAGUGUCCCGGUGUUGCCUACCAGGAGGAAAGGGGAAUUUUAUCAGUUACCAAGAUUCUGGCAGUUCCUGUUUGUGCAGGUAGCCCAAAAUACAGGUGUAUUUCAAGAAAUUAUUUAGUUGUAUUGAGUAAGAUAAGAAGUAUAUUCUACCCUGCUUCCCAGACUGGACUGUAAGCAAUUGUUUAACGAGCACAUCUAUGUCCCAAAAUGUAAGUACCUCCAUAUUUUUGCAUUAAAUCUUACUUAGAGUUCAUGAUCACUACUCAUCUUGACAUCUUUUAAAAUGCAGAAGGAAGAAAUGGUAUGUGAAGAAGGAAAAAAUGGUCCUCAGUUAGAAAAAAAAAAAGUAUUUCAUGAGCUGCUCUCCCAAUCUUUAAUGACAUACAGAAGGAAAAACAUUCUCAAAGACCUUGAUAUAACCAUUAACUCUUUAAAAGGUACAGAACAUGGUCUAAGGACUAGUUUCUGCAGAAAGAGACAAUUAUCUCACAGAAGUCUUAAAGAAUUUGGAUAAUUCACGACAGACAUGGUAAAGCCUGCAGUAACAUGGUUUUGCCCUACCAAGAUUGAAAGUAGACCAGACUUUUCUGGAAACAAGUUUUGUAUAGACAACCAAGUGUCUGUUGAAUGCUUUGUGGUUAAUCACAUAUCUCCCAAGAUCCAGAAAAUUCACUUCCAAAGCCUGUAAACAAGGGAACAGGUCACGAAUAUUGACAAUAGCUGAGAUAACUGACAAAUUUUUUUUUGAUAAUUGAGAAAUAUAUCUUUAGACUUCCAAAUAACUACCAGGAAAUAAAAUUUGGGAUAGAUGUUAUCUGCCAGCAGUCCUUAUUAAAAUCCAGAUUGAAUUAAGGCUUUAAAAAACUAGAAUAACCAGGAGCCAUACAGCAUUUAUACUUACGAGAACAAAUUCCAUCUAAAAAAAUAAAUGUGUAAAGUCUUGGAAGAGUCUGAUAAUAUGGCCAAGCUUUCAUGCGUAGAUCCUUCAAAAGCUCAGAAUAAAAUUAUACUUAGUUGUUCUUCACUCCUUAUUUCUUGAUUCCUUGUCAACUUUGUCAAAACUCUGUUUUCUCCUGAGUUUGCUUACAAAAAGUCUCUCUUUAUUUUUGGAAAUAGUUUUGUUUUACUUUGUGGCACAUUUUUAUUUAAUUUUACUUACAAAUAGGGAGGUGUUAUACAUAUGGUACUCCAGUUAUAAUAGAGGGAAUUAUAGUAUUCUGUUUUGCUGAAAUUCCAGCUGGUAGAAAAUUAAGUGUGCAAGCAGUCAUGCUCAGCAGAAGAGUGUAAAACUGAGAGGUGUAUCUUGUAGCUGCUUAUUUAGAGGUCAGAGUUGUUUUCACUGAUUCCUUCAGCAUUAAUAAUGGUAGUUAGAAAUAUUUGUUCUCCCAUUUUUUGUCCUGUUUUUGGCAUUGAGAUGGAAGACCUAAACAGUUUUCCUUCUUCAUAAGGUGCUGAUUUGUCUAUAAACAGGGAAUUCUUUAACACUGUUCGAAGCCCUGAUUGCUGACUCCAACUGUGAUGUUCUACCACAAAGGGCAAGGGAUCAAGCCUAAUGCUCUGGUUAGGAAGAUGCCAUUUAAAAAAGUUUCCAGCUCCCUUUUCUUAGGUGACUCUUAGGCUGCCAUGUGAUCCAAGCCUUUAUCAAGUGUUGUGCUGCUUGGUUCCCACCAGUGCCUUGGGCAGGUUGGCUCUCCUGGGUUGUAGUCAGCACUUCAACCAGGUGAAGGGCUCGGACAAUAUGCGGGGAUUGGAUGCUCUGAAAAUGUUCACUGAAGAAGGUCUGGAAAAACUCUAUGCUGGAGUUUUAACUCUUUCAGAUUUGCUGGACCAUUUGCCUAACCUUUAUUACCAUAUUUAGUAUCAUAUAUUCUCUCCCCUCCCCCUCUUUCCCUGUGUUUUCUUUAAAUGAAGACCACGUCUUUCUUAUGUCAUGUAAACGAAAAUGCAGUUUUGAAGAUAACUGCAAAUGUCACUGAACAAUGGACGUUACAUGAAGGAAAACAACCUGAUGUCAGGAAAUAUAACAAUCAAGGGACUGUUUUCCAAUGGCAAUAGCAGUUACAUUAUUUCUAAAUUAUAUAAGUUUUUUAUAUAUAGGGAACUUGACAUCUUUUAAGUAAAGGUGUAAAUAAAGAUGAUUCCAGCCAGAAUUUACUAUUGAAAAGCAUAUUCACUACAUACAUAAAACAUAGAUUUUUUAGGAAAGAAUUACUUCUGUUGAUCUUGCAGAGAUGUAUUAUUGCUAUGCUUAGUUUGUAAAAUACUUGUAGUAUUCUUCUAAAGGAAGAAAUUUGCUUAAAAGCUCCUUUUCACAUGCAACUUUAAUAAUGCAAACUCACAUUUGGUUUACCCUUAAUGUAAUACGCUUGAAUUUUACAAUGUAUAUUUUCUGCCUGGUUAAGGUUACAUGUAGCUCUUCCUCAGAAAACUUUCAGGGCUGCACACUUUUUAUCAGUAUUGUUUAAUUUAUCCUUACAUGAAAAAUCCCGCUACACAUAAUGAAAAUAAAUGAGAGUAUUGGGCUUCUGUUCAGCCCUAAACAUCGGACCGGUCUUAUGGCUUCUCUCUGAAUGCCAGUCACAGGAUGCAGAGAUUCCUGCAAUUUUACAUAUUUUUCCAGGGCUGGCAUCUGGCUGCUCUGUAGAUUCCUGAGGCAGUUCUGUUAGCACUGUUGAGAUGCCUCCAGGUCUACCAUGUGACGGAGUUGCAGAUGGAGCACUUGCGCAAUGCACUUCCCUUUUUCCUGCUUUAAUCAUACCAGGGAGGCUGUCGUGUUUCUUUGUGAGAGGGAGUAUUUGUACAUGCUAAAAAAAAAGCUAUUUCACCCAUUUAAAAAUUAAUUAAUCAACCUUCAGUUUUUAGAGAAAAUUUGGAGAAAAUCUGCUAUUACAUUGAGCCUUUCCAAACUCCUAUAUCUCUAAGCUGUUUAAUUUGAUGCUGUGUAUAUAAAUUUUUUUUGAAUGCUUGUUUAUCAAAAUUCAUUCCCUAUGUUUAAAUACUAGCUGAGAAAAAAACAGUGGGGAAUUUAAGACAAUUACUGAGCAGAUACCUGAUUAGGGAUGCCUCUAUUCAUUGAUGUUGAAGAACGGAAAAAAAAUUAUACAUGAUAAAUAGCAUAAUUUCUGAAGUAAAAAAAAUGUCUAUUGCUGCUUCUGUACAAAUGUCUCAAAUAUUUAUGGUAUAAAAAGGAAUUGUUUCAGAUUGUUCAAAUGUUGAUAUUUAUAAUUACUGUAAUGUGAAAUAAUGUAAAUGCAUGUUGCAUACAGCAUGUACUGAAAUCUGGGAAAUUUGGACUGAAGUGUGGCUUGUUCUUAACUUUGGAUUGUAGAAGGCCACUUAGUAAUUAAAAGCAGUAAAA